AGUGAACGCUGGCGGCGUGCUUAACACAUGCAAGUCGAACGAGAACGGAUUAUAGCUUGCUAUAAUUGUCAGCUAAGUGGCGCACGGGUGAGUAAUGUAUAGGUAAUAUGCCUCUUACUAAGGGAUAACAAUUGGAAACGAUUGCUAAUACCUUAUAUUCCUUUUUAUCAAAAGAUAAAAAGGGAAAGAUUUAUUGGUAAGAGAUUAGCCUGUAUUGUAUCAGUUAGUUGGUGGGGUAAUGGCCUACCAAGACAAUGACGCAUAACUGGUUUGAGAGGAUGAUCAGUCACACUGGAACUGAGACACGGUCCAGACUACUACGGGAGGCAGCAGUGGGGAAUAUUGCACAAUAGACGAAAGUCUGAUGCAGCAACGCCGCGUGGAGGAUGACACAUUUCGGUGCGUAAACUCCUUUUAUAUAAGAAGAUAAUGACGGUAUUAUAUGAAUAAGCACCGGCUAACUCCGUGCCAGCAGCCGCCGUAAAAC
rnacentral:rRNA from 1 species